AUGUACUGCCAUCAGUUUCAGAAGUUUUCUUCGAAAGUCAGAGAAAUUCUUUUGCAAGUGAAUGUACAGUGGAAUCUAUAGUGAGUAGAAGCAGGGACUCGCUGGUUUCAGAUGAACCAAUUAAAAGCCAGCAAUUUGAGUAGAGUGCGCAGUCCACAUAUGAUAGCAUGAAUGAUGAGUCUGAUCUCAAUAGCGCCCUCUAUGAUAGUGUCAGGAAUGCAGUUGAAACAUUGAAUAGUAACAGUAAAGAGAAUUGCUAUGAAGGAGACAAUUGAGGCAGAUUUUAUGCCACCAAAUCCUCCUGGUAGCCUUCAACAAGACAGAAGCCCUAGUGGGUCACAGGCUUAGUGAUGAAACCACGGACACACCCGAAGCUCGCUAUUCAACAUCAAUGAUGAAAGAUACGACCAGCAUUGGAAGAGCUGCAGUCCUGUGAUGAUCCAAAUGGGCAACAGUUGGCUAGCGGUAAGUGUCAUUUAGUCUUUAAGUGGACAGAUGAAAAAUUUGAAAAGUCAACUACUGCCGCUAUAGUCAUUUGAAAGGAAAUCUUGGAAAUCACAUGUAUAUAUGAAACAUGAAGGAUGCCGGCACCUCGACCUCUGAAGAUUAGAGCCUAAAAGAUUUUCACAAAAACGUGAUGCAAUAUUAUCAAAAGGAUUGUUUAUUUUUGAAAUGGUCUUCAAUGGAGAAUUUGGUUACUGGAAACCAAAAAGAACAAUUGGAGACAGAAUUAAUUAGGAGACAAUUGAGAUGGAAUUUAUCCCGCAAAAUCAAUCUAGUAGCCCUCAGCAAGGCAGAACCCCUAGGGGGUCACACAUAGGCUAAUGGAGCCUCGGACACACCCAGCCCUAGCCUACAGUAGACAGUCCUAGCCUACAGUAGACAGCCCUAGCCUAGGCAGGCCUUUCUGUUGCUCCCCGAUCAGUUGUGCACACCUUGCAGUGUGUUACUCCUACCAGCACAGUGUCUUCUCGUCUAACGCAUGUAAGUAUGAAAGUAGAGAGAAUAUGCUCUGAACU